AAGAGAGAGAGAGAGAGAGAGAGAGAGAGAGAGAGAGAGAGAGAGAGAGAGAGAAAGACUUGUAGCUCUCGCAGACUGCUUUUCUGUAAUCAAGACAAGAAGGAGGGUCACUGGGUCACUCUUUUGGAACUAGUUCUCUUACGACCUUCGCGAAGGAGCAAAGGAAGCAGAACAGCUGGCAGGGUGGCAUCGAUGAAAUAGAACGAGAGGGAGAGAGAGAGAGAGAGUUGCGGUCCCCGUUAAGCGAAUCGAGAGAUACGAGAUCGAGCAUAACAAAGAUCAAACUAAGAGAGAGAGAGAGAGAGAGAGAGAGAGAGGGAGAGAAAGAAAGAGAGAGAGAGCAUUGAUAUAGAAAGAGACAGAGAUUAGUUGGAGGCCGGAGUUAUACAAUGCAGGUAACGGCCCGUUCGAUCGGUCCCCUUUAAGGUCCAACCGGUGGUAAUAUCCUACGAAUAAGAGAGAGAGAGAGAGAGAAACAUUCUCUUUCCUUCUCUCUCUCUCUCUCUCUCCUCCCCUCGAGAGUUCACCAUAAAAUUACAAUCCUUUCGCCUUCGAAGGGGCGUACACUGACCGCUCGGUCUUUGAACAAUAUAUAUGUCGGGAUUUAUAUAACUCACCCUGUAUUAGCGCUACAGACCUACAUGUGGUGGAAGCUGCGGGAGAGAGAACCGUGCCUAUGUUAAAUCCCUCUAUUUCUCUCUCUCUCUCUCUCUCUCUCUCUCUCUCUCUCUCUCUCUCUCUCUCUCUCUCUCUCUCUCUUUCACUCUGGUCGUAGAUCUCCAUUGUGAGCAACCGUAUGCGUGUCCGUCCUCGUGUGCGGCCUUGCCUGAGUAUUGCGCGUGCGCGUUUCCAAGAGAGAGAUAGAGAAGAAAGGGCGAUAGAGAAGGAAGGUAGAGAGAAGACCACAGGGGUAAGUAGAGUUAGAUAAAGAGAGAAAACGAUACAAUAUACGCGUUGGGUUCUCCUUCUCUAUUUCUCUCUCUCUCUCUCUCUCUCUCUCUCUCUCUUUUUUUUCUCUCUCACUACGUUCGAUUGAAUCAGAAAAUCCUUUGAAUCAGAGGCAACAGUCAGAGAACUUGGUUGGUUAGUGGUACUGGUGGUGGUGUUGAUAGUGGUGGUGUUGGUGAUGUUGGUGGUGGUGGUGUGAGAAGAAGUGGAAGGGAAAGAAAGAGAGAAAGAGGUAGGAAGAGGGAAAGAGAAGGAAGAGGGCAUUUACGAAAACUAGAAACAUUCAUAAAUUUGGAAAAUUUACGAGCACUUUUAUGCACUCGCCGGAAUAUGACUGGCAAUAUGCCGACGAUUUAAGCCAAUGAAUCAAGAAGGAUUUCGUAUUCGUGGAGCGAUUCUUUGCUGGAACAAAAAGUGAAAAGAGGGAAGAAGAGGAAGAAGAAGAAGGAGAAGAAGAAGAGGAAGAAAGAACAAGUACAAGAACAAGAAGAAGAGUUCUCGACGUCUAUCUAGAGAUCUGCGAGACGAGGUAAUACGUGGAAUAAUAGAAGAGACUCUGGUCGAGUAGGAGGGUGGGAGGGAGGGAGGGCUGCAGGGUAGAGUAGUAGGAUAAGGUUUACUCGAAAGAGACAAAAAAAAAAAAAUUAAAAAAAAAGGAGGAGAGAGAGAGAGAGAAAAAGAGAGUAGGACAUCGACUGGUGGUAAAGGGGCAGGGGGUUUUUAUUUUUCGACCUUCUACGUUAAAAGAAAAAGAAAAGAUGACUUAGGGAAGGAUAAAUGAGAAAGAGAGAGAGGGAAAGAGAUAAAGAGGGAAAAAGACGAAGUUCGAAGAAGAUCAUAGUAAUAUCGCCCGCGAAAGCUUUGAUUACUACUGACUUACACCAAUCGUACCAUGCGAUUCCGCGUCCGUCGGCGAGAGGCAAUGACCGGGUUCUUCUGGCCGCGUCUGUGCGCUUAUUCGUUCUUUCGUUUGUUUCGUAACGUUUCGUUCGUUCGUUCGUUCAUUCGGUUUCUCGUGGCACAAGUUAGGCCAUUGGAGGGUGCGUGGCGCUUCCGGCCGAGCCUAGCGAGCAAAAGAGAGGAGAGAUAGACUAGGCGAGUCUCUCUCUAAUCUUUAACUAAGGCAAGGCAAGGCAAGGCAAGGCAAGGCAAGGCAAGGCAAGGCAAGGCAAGUCAAGACAGGACAAGACAAGACAAGACAAGACAAGACAAGACAAGGCAUGGCAUAGCAUGGCAUAGCAUGGCAUAGCAUGGCAUGGCAUAGCAUGGCAUGGCAAGACUAGGCUAGUCUAUAGACUAGACUACUAGACUAGACUAGACUAGACUAGACUAGACUAGACUAAGACUAGGCUAGGCUAGGCUCAAAGCUAGGCGAGGAACGAGCGAGAAGCGGUCGCGGAGAGAUAUCGCCGAGUAGAGAGGAGGAGGAGGAGGAGGGGGAGGAGGAGGAGGUGGUGAUGGUGGUGGUAGUAGAGGUGUAGGAGGAGGAAGAGGUGGAGAAGGUAGAAGAGCAAGGCGAGGAAGAGAGAGAGAGUGAGUGAGUGAGGCAGGGGGAAGGGAGUGGGGAUAGGUAGCGGAGGCUCGAGCUCAAGUGGUGGGGGCAAUCAGCCAGCUGACUCGGGAAAGUUCGUGGACGACCGUGAUCGAAGCGGAGCGGAGGGCAACAGCACCGGCGCACGACCGAUGCAGUCGGCUGCCACCGGGGAGCCAGCUGACUGGCCGGCCCUCGUAUACCUUCGGCAUUAUUCGGCCUUCUUCGGAUCUUUGUCUGCCGCUGUGCACGAGGGUACCGGCGAGCAGCGAGCCGCUGUCAGUUGGCGCUGUGACACCGUAGGGAGGAGACGGUGUCAUUUCGUCGAGCACGAUCCAGCACCGCGAGAGACUGAAGCAGAGAAAGAGAAAGAGAAAGAAAGAAAGAGAGACAGAGGGUGAGAGAGAGAGAGAGAAAAGUAAUAGUUUAGUAAUAAUAAUAGUAACAAAAGUAAAUAGGAACGACUCGCAAUCUAAAGGACAAAGAGAGAACGAUACGAUCAUCUCCGUUUAGAAAAAGAGAGAGAGAGAGAUAGAGAGAGAGAGAGAGAGAGACAGGAGAAAGAAAAAGAGAUAGAAAGAAAGAAAGAAAGAGAGAGAUAAAAAGAGUGUAACCGAAAGUAGACGGAUCCGGCUGUGAUCGUCUCUCUCCUUAAAACGGAUAGAGAGUAAAAGAGAAAGAAAUAGAAAAAAAGAGAGAGAGAGAGAGAGAGAGAGAGACGCUGGCACCGUCCAUCUCGAAGAAAGUAUAAAGAUAACCAGAGAGAGAAAGAAGGAGAAAGAGAGAUAGAAAGAGACUCGAAGAAUAAUUUGGCCGUCGAUAAGCCAAAGAGAAAGAAUAAAGGACAGAGAGAGAGAGAGAGAGUGAGAGAGAGGAGGUAACGCUCUCUUCAAAUAAAGGCAAUCAUCGGUCUUCGUUGCCGCCGCCGUUGUGUCGGUGGUGGUGUCGUGUGGUGCGGUGUCGCUGCGGUACGGCAGGAACAUCAAGAUAGAGAGAAAAAGAGAAAGAGAGAAAGAGAAAGAAAAAAAUUAGGAGAGGACUAGCAUCACUUCGUCGUCGUCGUCGUCGUCGUCGUCGUCGUCUAGGAAAAGAAACCGAAUAGAUCGUAAUUGUGCCGGCGACUUCUCGUAAUCACGUCGAUAAAAGUAUAUAUAGAGAGGGGUUAUAGGUAAAACGAUAGAUAUGUUGUGUCGUUGUCGUCGUUGUCAUCGUCGUCUUACGUGUGUGCCAGUGCAGACGACUCGACGUUGAGAGAAUCGAAAGAGGAAGGAAAAAGGAAGAAGAGGAAAAUUGAAAAAAAAAGAAGGAACGAGAGAGAGAGAGAGAGAGAGAGAGAGAAAGAGAGACAAAAGAAGAAGAAUCAUCGGAGAAAAUCAUCGUUGAAAAACGAAAAGAAACGGCCAGCUACUGUCGCAACAAA